UAAGCCGUUAGGUGGAGGCGUAGGGAAACCGAGUCUGAAUAGGGGCGACUAGUAUGCAGGAUUAGAUCCGAAGCCCGGUGAUCUAGCCAUGACCAGGUUGAAGUUGCGGUAACACGCAAUGGAGGACCGAACCGAUAAGUGUUGAAAAACUUCCGGAUGAGUUGUGGUUAGGGGUGAAAGGCCAAUCAAACCGGGUAAUUGCUGAUUCUCCGCGAAAACUAUUUAGGUAGUGCGUCGUGUCUUACCUUCGGGGGUAGAGCACUGGAUGGGCUAGGGGGGCGCAAGCCUUACCAAACCCAACCAAACUCCGAAUACCGAAGAGUACAAUCACGGCAGACAGACAGUAGGUGCUAACGUCUAUUGUCAAGAGGGAAACAACCCAGACCACCAGCUAAGGUCCCCAAAUAAUGACUAAAGUGUAAAAAGGAAGUUGGACUUCCAUAACAACCAGGAAGUUAGGCUUAGAAGCAGCCAUCUUUUAAAGAAAGCGUAAUAGCUCACUGGUCUAAUUAAGAGGUCCGGCGCCGAAGA
rnacentral:rRNA from 1 species